CACAGGCAUUCAAAGGGCUGGAGAAGUUGUCCUGCUUUGCAUGCUCAGAGGAAGGGGAGCAAUAUGCAGGGCAGAAGGGCUUCCCAAUCCAGAUGGGGAUGCACAUGCCUUGGAGCACCUGCUGCCCCGUGCUGCACACAGGAGCAAGCUCCUCUUCUCCCACCCACCUGUGCUGUGCAAGACUUGGCCUUCCACAAGGGAGCUGUGAUGCCCACAUCUUCCUAACUGUGGCAGCAGCAGCCUUCACCUCUGCAGAGCCCAGCCAAGGCAGCUCCUCCGUGUGGUGCCAGCAGGGAGGUUCCUGUGCUGGUCCAGCUACAGCCCUGGGCAAGGUGAGGUGCAAAGGCAUAGGGAGGGAAGGGAAGUGGAUGGGACAGAACAUGAGCUUAGGGUGACCCCAGAGAGGGUCACACAUAGCCAUGGCAGUACAGGAGCUGCCAGAUGGAGCUGACAGAGCUGAAGUCAGCCAGUGUCACAUUCAGGCUUGGGAUUGAGACCAGGCCCCAUGAGGGGGAGAGAAGAAUGUGAGGGACACAGUGCCUGCCAGCACUGUGGAGUACCUGUGCCAUGGCCAGAAUCCCCCCACUGAGAGUACUGAUGGGAGUGAUGCUGUCCUGUCCCCAAAACAGAGGAUAUGAGAUGGCACAUCCCAAACCCCUUGUCAUAUCAAUGUUCAGGAGAAAGAAGUGCUCUUUGGGCAGCAAAGAGGGUUGCAGCAAAGAAACAGCCUGUGUUUUCACCAGGCAGGGACAUUCCAGUCUAAGGCUGGGAUCCUCUGCAUCCCCUCCGCAAAGGCUGUUUUGUCCCUGGGGGCAAAAGUUCUCUCCACUUGUGGCAGGAGGUGUUACUUUGUGUGGCCACAUAGCCCUUUGUCUCUGAGAAAAUUGCAAAACCCUGAGCUUCGCUGCAGCUCCAAGAAGCUCAGAAAGAGAGAACCUGCUGGAAGGCAGACGCCCACGUCGGCGCUGGGCCAGCCGAACCUUCCAGGCUGUUACGCAGCCCCACAGCUGCUUGGCAAGGACACUGCCGACCCUCCCACAUCACAGCCCCAAGCAGCCUGGGCCGGCUGCGGCCAGGCACUGGGCUGGGAUUGCUGUUUUUCUGCUUUAUCAGGAUCUUGCUGAGCUUGGCGAGAACAGCAUGUCCCAAACAGCCGGGGGCAGGAUGGGGCUCACUGCCGCUGCUGCUGCCUUUUGCCCAAGCUCUGUCUGUCCCCGCUGGAGAGGUGCAGGCACCAAAAGCUGCACUGCCACUGUCACCUCUGCACACAUGCACGAGCCAUGAUGCCACAAGCUGGGGCCCAGAGACAGCAGCGUUCCUGUGUCUGCUGCCGUAUGUCUCUCUUCCUCUUGCCACUGUCUCCAUCCCAAGUGCAGGUUCCCACACAGCAGCAGACCCCUGCACGUGCCCGUUCCCAGGAUCUGCUCCCAGCAGGACCCUCAGCAAGUGCAUCCCAUCACUCUGUCGCUGUCUCACAGUGGCCCACAGUGUGGCCCACAGCGCCUUGGGCCAGUACCCGCUGUCCUGGAGGCUGAAGGGACAUGGGAAGGGGACCCUGAUCAGUCAGAGCAGUGGUGCUGCUCCAUCACAGCCCAGCUGGGCUGGGACAGCCACCAUGCACAGCACAGGGCAGCAGCCAGAUGGGAAAUGGAAUGAGCAGCCCACCUCUGCUGCUGCUAGCCCAGACAGCAGCAGGAUAAGCAAGGAAGCAUCAGGGUGACAACAGAGGCAUGUCCAGGUGUCAGCAAAAGACAAGAAGAAAGGGAGGAAAGAGAAACGAAG
rnacentral:lncRNA from 1 species